rfam:Aedes albopictus isolate Foshan contig69429, whole genome shotgun sequence.
UUCAGGCCAUAUCGAAGCAGGACAAAGGCCAUUUCUUAUGCCUGUUGUCCUGUCAAAAAUUGGCCCAGAGUAAACGCUCCGUCGACGGUCAUUGGAAGCCUUGACAUCCGUGUGGUUUACCAAUAACAUAUUUGGCGGUGUACAAUA